AAGAGACAGCAGCAGCCGCGGUAACACGAAGGGGGCUAGCGUUGUUCGGAAUUACUGGGCGUAAAGCGCGCGUAGGCGGAUAUUUAAGUCAGGGGUGAAAUCCCAAGGCUCAACCUUGGAACUGCCUUUGAUACUGGAUAUCUGGAGUUUGGGAGAGGUGAGUGGAAUUCCGAGUGUAGAGGUGAAAUUCGUAGAUAUUCGGAGGAACACCAGUGGCGAAGGCGGCUCACUGGCUCGGUACUGACGCUGAGGUGCGAAAGCGUGGGGAGCAAACAGGAUUAGAUACCCCCGUAGUCCCUGUCUCUUAUAC
rnacentral:rRNA from 1 species